UAACGAUUGACGGAGCGAAGCGACGUCAAAGCGUUCAUUAAAGUCGAGUUGGCUUAGGGAUACGUUCGUUGGGUAGGGGAGCGUUCUGUAAGCCUGUGAAGGUGGCCUGUGAGGGUUGCUGGAGGUAUCAGAAGUGCGAAUGCUGACAUAAGUAACGAUAAAGCGGGUGAAAAGCCCGCUCGCCGGAAGACCAAGGGUUCCUGUCCAACGUUAAUCGGGGCAGGGUGAGUCGACCCCUAAGGCGAGGCCGAAAGGCGUAGUCGAUGGGAAACGGGUUAAUAUUCCCGUACUUGGUGUUACUGCGAAGGGGGGACGGAGAAGGCUAUGUUGGCCGGGCGACGGUUGUCCCGGUUUAAGCGUGUAGGUGUGUGUUCCAGGUAAAUCCGGUUCACUUUAACACUGAGGCGUGAUGACGAGGCACUACGGUGCUGAAGCAACAAAUGCCCUGCUUCCAGGAAAAGCCUCUAAGCAUCAGGUAACAUCAAAUCGUACCCCAAACCGACACAGGUGGUCAGGUAGAGAAUACCAAGGCGCUUGAGAGAACUCGGGUGAAGGAACUAGGCAAAAUGGUGCCGUAACUUCGGGAGAAGGCACGCUGACACGUAGGUGAAGUGAUUUACUCAUGGAGCUGAAGUCAGUCGAAGAUACCAGCUGGCUGCAACUGUUUAUUAAAAACACAGCACUGUGCAAACACGAAAGUGGACGUAUACGGUGUGACGCCUGCCCGGUGCCGGAAGGUUAAUUGAUGGGGUCAGCGCAAGCGAAGCUCCUGAUCGAAGCCCCGGUAAACGGCGGCCGUAACUAUAACGGUCCUAAGGUAGCGAAAUUCCUUGUCGGGUAAGUUCCGACCUGCACGAAUGGCGUAAUGAUGGCCAGGCUGUCUCCACCCGAGACUCAGUGAAAUUGAACUCGCUGUGAAGAUGCAGUGUACCCGCGGCAAGACGGAAAGACCCCGUGAACCUUUACUAUAGCUUGACACUGAACAUUGAGCCUUGAUGUGUAGGAUAGGUGGGAGGCUUUGAAGUGUGG
rnacentral:rRNA from 1 species